UACGGAGGGGGCGAGCGUUAUUCGGAAUUAUUGGGCGUAAAGGGCGCGUAGGCGGCUGUACAAGUCAAAGGUGAAAUCCCUCGGCUCAACUGAGGAACUGCCUUUGAAACUGUACGGCUUGAGGCCGGGAGGGGGUAGCGGAAUUCCCAGUGUAGCGGUGAAAUGCGUAGAGAUCGUAAGGAAGACCAGUGGCGAAGGCGGGUCUCUGGACAGUUCCUGACACUGAGGCACGAAGGCCAGGGGAGCAAACGGG
rnacentral:rRNA from 1 species